CUGGUCCGUCACCUGCAGGUCCGGGAAGAAAGGGAUGUUGCGGGCCCAUUCCACGGCGCUGAAGAGCAUCCGGGCCGCCAGCUCACAGAUGUUCUCGAUGCCCAUGAUAGUGUUGCUCUGCAGGCACUGAGAGCCAAACCUGGAGGUCGGGUAGGGCUCGGCCCGCAGCAGGAGAGAGAUGUAUCCGGAGAGAUAGGAGUGACACUGUAGAGGGUCUCCGUUUGUCAGGGCAAACUGGCCGUGGCUACUUUGAUAUGCACCGCAGGGACAUACUAUUACUCUCACAUGAGGAGUGCAGCAGCCACAGGAGCAGCAGAUCCAGGAGGGAGGUGGUGCUGUGACGUGAUGUCCUGGACGUUACAUGGUUCAGACGGCUGUGUGAAGGCCAGGAGGGACACGGACAGUCGGAGGCUUCACUGAAUGACACAGGCACUAAAAACAAACCAAGAGUUUUUCCUGGUGCUUUUCAAGGUUAGGUGGCAUAAAUGGCUAUAAUUCAGAGAGACUGUCACUUUGCAUCUGUCUGCUUUUAAAAAAAACAGAGAGAGUUUCCCAAGAGGGUGGGGGGGGGGGCAGGUUGCAUUGUGCUUUAAAACAGACAUUGUGCAUGGUAAAUUGGAAUAUAAUGGUUUUAAUUUGGCAUUUAAAGGAUGGAAUGGUGAGAUUUUGCAACCACUUUUCUCUGCACCACCCUUUUAGCACUGCCAGGCAAAAACACAACAAAGACCCCCCCUCACUUUUCUGCUAGAGGACCCAAGUCAUUCAAAGCAAAGACUCUUCUUUUGUCCUUCGCAGCAGCACAUUUCCUCAGACUGAGAACA